rnacentral:rRNA from 1 species
GAUGAACGCUAGCGGCAGGCCUAAUACAUGCAAGUCGAACGAGAUUGAGGAGCUUGCUCCUCAUGAAAGUGGCGCACGGGUGCGUAACGCGUAUGCAAUCUACCUUAAUCAGGGGGAUAGCCCGGAGAAAUCCGGAUUAAUACCGCAUAACGUUAUUUUAUGGCAUCAUAGAAUAACCAAACAUUUAUGGGAUUAAGAUGAGCAUGCGUGACAUUAGUUAGUUGGUGAGGUAACGGCUCACCAAGACUACGAUGUCUAGGGGAUCUGAGAGGAUGACCCCCCACACUGGUACUGAGACACGGACCAGACUCCUACGGGAGGCAGCAGUAAGGAAUAUUGGUCAAUGGGCGCAAGCCUGAACCAGCCAUGCCGCGUGCAGGAAGACGGCCCUAUGGGUUGUAAACUGCUUUUAUUCGGGAAUAAACCUCUUUACGUGUAAGGAGCUGAAUGUACCGAAGGAAUAAGGAUCGGCUAACUCCGUGCCAGC